rnacentral:tRNA from 1 species
GGGGCCGUAGUGUAGCUUGGUCUAUCACUCCACCUUGGGGUGGUGGUAACCCCGGUUCAAAUCCGGGCGGUCCCA